GAUGAACGCUGGCGGCGUGCCUAAUACAUGCAAGUCGAGCGAAGCGGGGACGGGUGAGUAACACGUGGAUAACCUCCUAUAAGACUGGGAUAAAUUCGGGAAACCGGAGCUAAAACGGAUACUUGUAGCUGGAGCCGCGCUGCAUUAGCUAGUUGGUAAGGUAACGGCUUACCAAGGCAACGAUGAAUAGCAGACCUGAGAGGGGGGUCAGCCACACCGGAACUGAGACACGGUCCAGACUCCUACGGGAGGCAGCAGUAGGGAAUCGUCUGCAAUGGGCGAAAGCCUGACGGAGCAACGCCGCGUGAGUGAUGAAGGUCUUCGGUUCGUAAAACUCUGUUAUUAGGGAAGCGGUACCUAAUGAGAAAGCCACGGCUAACUCCGUGCCAGCAGCCGCGGUAAUAC
rnacentral:rRNA from 1 species